rnacentral:rRNA from 1 species
AUGUCGGCGACAUAUACCCGGUCUCAGCUCUCGCCAUGCCCUGCUGGUGAUCACCCUCUACAUCCUAAGCACUGCCAGAUCCUUGCCGUUUUUUGCAUCAGAGAGUUCACCCAGAGAGCCCAUAACCGGCCGCCGCUCAUCGGUACCGUGUUCCGGCAGCUCAACAACUUUGACAAGAUCUUCAAUGAGCAUGUGAAGUAUGCACUCCUGCAACCCACCAUCAGGCUUGUCUAUCCAGGGCACAGUGAGAUCUUAACCGCCGACCCUGCCGUCAUCGAGCAUGUCCUCAAGACAAACUUCAGUAAAUACAGCAGGUACUGUGGUGGUAGAUGCUUCAGUCUGCAGACGGGGACAAGUAAUGGCUUCCUCCUCUACGGCCGCCCGCGCCGCCGCCAUUUCCGCCGUGAGACGGGCCUCGGUGGCCCUUAUCCUCUCCUUCCCACGGUGGGCCGCCCGUUCCCAGGGGACUCCUACUCUGCCCAACCGGUGACGUGGAAGGAGUGGUCGCAACCCGCCGGAGGUGAGCUCGGGUGGUGGAGGGGAGUGGAGGGGACUAGACUGAAGUGGCUAGGGUUUAGUCCGGCGAGACGAUGGGGACGAAUACAAGUGGGGUCGGGUGGGCUAGCAUUGGGCGGAUCUGACGUGGCAGGUGUGCUCGGAAGCGCCCGGGCGUCCCGGAUAUGGGGUGCCGGUCAGCCUGGAAGUUUGAGGGCCUUUUAA